AGAGCAAAAUGAGAGAAAUGGAGGUUUUGAAUAAAAACCUUCCAAAAUUCGUAGAGAGAGCUAGAGACCUCCAAAUCACUCCGUUCCAAAGCCAAACUUGUGAGAAAUUUCGAGAGGAAUCCAUUGGUACCAGUAUUUCUGGGUGGGUUUCACUGUAGAGAGAGAUCUUCAUCAUCUAAGAUUUCGAAUUUCAUGGAUAAUGGUGAUUUUGAUGGAGCUUGAGGCCAUGGGAGCUUAGAUACUCAUCUCUCCUUUGUUUUAGAGUGCAUUGUGGUGUACCUACUGUGAACGUUUGGAUUCUCGUGGAGCAUGAUAAGUAGCUUGCUCUUCAAGUAAGCAAACUGUAAAGCUCCAAGAGGAACACAGUUAAUUGAAGAGCCUCAUGGGACAAGGACACUAACCGUGGCUAGAGGUACUAGUAUGAGGAUGUGGAGUUCUGGGUGGUCGGAUGCUACUAUUUGUUUUAGACGUAUUUUUGGAAAAGAUGUAUUGUUGCAUAGUGUUCAUAUUUGAUACAUGUACAUUUAUGUAUUCAGGCAUGAU